CAGAGAGGUCAGGGUGUCUGGUUGGUGUGACAGAGAGGUCAGGGUGUCUGGUUGGUGUGACAGAGAGGUCAGGGUGUCUGGUUGGUGUGACAGAGAGAGGGGUCAGGGUGUCUGGUUGGUGUGACAGAGAGGUCAGGGUGUCUGGUUGG